rnacentral:ribozyme from 13 species
GUCUUUUUAGUCCUUUUGUUUUGUUUGUUGUUUUUUGCUUUUGCUUUUUGCCUUAUGUGUGGGGUUUUAAUGAAAUUGGAUUUAGAGGAACUUGACGGCCUGAGAAUAAAAAUAAUGCAAAAGAAGAGAAACGACAUGUUUUUAAAGAAGGUACUCCCUUAAAUUAAGCCUCAAACUAUAAAUGUUCUCAGAUUCUUUUUGUUUCAGUUCUGAUGUGUGUUAUUAUUAAUAAUAAUUUUAACUUAUUUAACUAAUUUCAUUAACUAAUUCGUGUGUGUCUCUAAUUCGUAAAAGUUGUUGUGU